rnacentral:snoRNA from 1 species
AGUAUAUACAACAUGCGUAAAACUAGAGUCAAGGCUUCUUUUCUUUGUUCUCUUUUGUAGAAAGGCAGGAUGCUACAGAGCACCCUCUACACUAACAUUU